UUCGUCGUGAGGCGAGGUGCGGAGGAGGCCCAAUCCAAAGCUGCCGGGCGAUGAACAAAAACCGGAUACGAGGCGUGAUGCAUCCGGGCAUCGACGGCAUGACGGU
rfam:Candidatus Accumulibacter sp. SK-12 contig000017, whole genome shotgun sequence.